UUCAAGAUGAGGAACACAGGGAUGUUUUCUAGAGAAUUCAGCUGGGGGUCAUACAAGACCCCAACGGGCUGAGCUUGCAGCUGGAGCAGAGGGGAUGAGAGGUGCCAAAGGAUGCUGAGAAAUAGGAAGAAUCUUUUUGCUGAGAAAACUGAGUCUGCUAAUAAGAGGUGUAAUUUAUACACCUGAUCUAGUGAAAUCUCCUCAACCAACCAACCCACCCUGGAGUUUAACACAGAAAUGUCAUGACACCGCUUGAUGGAAGUUUGGAUACAACUGGCCCCCGACACCAACAGAUAUCCCAUCAAACUCUGAACCAGAGGCAUAACAGGAUGGAAUAUCAGCUUCACCACCCACAGUUUGGGCAAGAAGAGUCU